UUUACGGUGAAAUACAGCGUGUAACUGGAGAGAAACCAGUAUGUACUUAAAAAUGACACUUGUCUGACUGAUAGCUGGUCAUAAGUUUUAACAUCGACUGCUUUGAGUGAAUUUCGUACAACUUGAGUUUCUCGGGAAGAAAACCCCGGGGGCAUGUCAGCCCGGUUUGCCCUGACCGCCACAUGACCUGGAGCCGUGAGGGCCAUAACAUCAGACCAGAGUAGCCGGCCCACAUCUGCUAUAAAUCCAGAGCCGUGUCGAGGUGAGCCUUCGGUUGAUCUACGCUCGAUCUGACAAGGAGCGCCAAGAAAGUGGGAAAGCGCCCCCAGCGAAACCCCCCACGCUUUCAGAUGGUGGAUGGACAGUGUGGAGAGUGACAAGAUGUCCGCCUCAAUCUGUCUGUGACCUGUGUGGAAUCAGGACACAAAUAAGGAAGACAAGAUACACCAACAGAUAUGAUUAAAGGCCCAAAAAUAUUUCUCUGCAUGUUUCCCCCACCUCUUCACCUCCUGGACAUCUCAACCACCUCCAGCUGUGGGUUGCCAGGUCCACAGUGCCCCCCACAAAAGCCGGUUGCCAGAUUGGAACAGCCCAUGCAGUGCAGAGGGGGUCUGAGGCUGCCUAUGGCCUGGUGCCACGCUGGGCCCUGUUAUUACCUCCAGAUGACAUCAGCCUGUGCAGCAGAUGCCUGUUUGGCCACAGGGCCCACAGAGAGAAAGAGUCUCUGGAUUUGAGCCUUGGGAGAUCUUCUAUUGUUUGACCAAAGAAGAGCCAGCUAAAUCCAACCCAACCCCUGUAUACACUGCUGAUGCUUGUCUCCAUGGAGCAGGGGAUGCCACCAUGCCAAGUUACAGGUCAGAUCUGUCCAGAGGCAAGCCCGCUCACAGGGCAGUGUACAACAAAACCAAAGUCAUAGGAGAGAUGCUGCUGCCAGAUUAUGAGCGCAAAUGCUAAUUUACAUCUGUAGUCCAUGAGCAGUUGCUCUGAGCUCAACCUGAUGUCACUGCUUGCUGUGGUGAGUCACUGGCCCUCAUCGUGACCGCUACCUGCCGAUGACGUCCAUAAACCACCGUCGUUUUCAUCAAUUACGCACCUUUUAUAGCGCAUUGAUUCACUCUGAUGCUGUAUGCACAUCUGAUGGUUCUGCUUUUCUACAAACCUACUCGAGAUGCUAAGUGCUUUUGUCGUGAUGACGUACACAGACCCUGGACAAACCCUCCCCCGAGACAUUUCCCACAGUGAGUCAUCUGAUCCCAAAGACUUCUGCGUCACCGAGAUAAAAAUAACUUCAAUAUCAUCGUCAUUAUAUAGCUGGCAUUCGUAUAGGUUACGUAUGUGUAAUAGUGAUUCUCAUGAUGUCCAUCCAAUCUGUUUUAUUUAUA